rnacentral:rRNA from 1 species
GACGAACGCUGGCGGCGUGCCUAAUACAUGCAAGUAGAACGCUGAAGAGAGGAGCUUGCUCUUCUUGGAUGAGUUGCGAACGGGUGAGUAACGCGUAGGUAACCUGCCUUGUAGCGGGGGAUAACUAUUGGAAACGAUAGCUAAUACCGCAUAACAAUGGAUGACACAUGUCAUUUAUUUGAAAGGGGCAAUUGCUCCACUACAAGAUGGACCUGCGUUGUAUUAGCUAGUAGGUGAGGUAAUGGCUCACCUAGGCGACGAUACAUAGCCGACCUGAGAGGGUGAUCGGCCACACUGGGACUGAGACACGGCCCAGACUCCUACGGGAGGCAGCAGUAGGGAAUCUUCGGCAAUGGGGGCAACCCUGACCGAGCAACGCUGCGUGAGUGAAGAAGGUUUUCGGAUCGUAAAGCUCUGUUGUAAGUCAAGAACGGGUGUGAGAGUGGAAAGUUCACACUGUGACGGUAGCUUACCAGAAAGGGACGGCUAACUACGUG